CGUAAUCUUAACGUAAGUAGGUGCCGAGAUACACGAGGGGUUGGAGCAGGACUAUAGGAGGAGAUGAGGACAUGUUUUGUUUUAGAUCCACCUGAUUAAUCCCAAGUUUUUGCAAGGUCUGCUUCUUAUGCAGAGCUUUCUUUUGAUGAGCAGCCUAGACAAUUAAUUACAGUUAGUCCUUUUAGUUAGAUAUAGUAUUAGGUCAAUUAUUUACUUCUGUGUCGAUGAACAAAUGAGUCUGAUUUAAUUUUUCUUUAGACUAUUAUUGUUUUCGGUGUUGGUUUGAAGUUAAAAGUGAGAAAAAGAUUAGGUGACACGAAUUUGGUGUGAAUGGAUAUUGGUUCUGAGAGGCCAUUUCUUAUGCAUCAGGUCAUCAAGGUGGAUGUUGUUUGUUUAGAUAUAUUUGCCUCCAGGUUAUUCAAAAUGGUUCAUGUCAUACUGGAUGCUAUUUUAAACAUAUUUGUUUUCUCUUUGGCCAAUAAUGAAAUUAUCUUUGUGCAUAUAGAAUGCUUAUUGAUACCAUAAUUCUAAACAAUGGUUGCCAUUGCCAAAACUGCUAAAAGAUAUAACUUUAUACAAUUUAACAUAGGUGAGCCUUGCAUCCACUACUUAGAUGAGUUUAGUCACCACAUUGUGUGGGCAACACAGUUAAGCUCUACAACCAUAAUGUUUGUAGACUGCAAAAGAUCAUCCGCAACACCACCAUGCGUGAUCACUACUACGUGUGCCACAUGACAGAAACAUUUGAAAUAGAUGGCAAAAGAAUGGUAAUCCUUUACAAUUACUCUGUCCAAUUUCAUACAAUAGCAUGGUAUAAAAUGAUACAGUAACUAACCGUAACUAUUUUUUUCAGUACAAUAGCGUUCCCUUUUCUACGGGUUCCCUUUUCCCACACAUGGAUCCUGGCCGUGGUGAACUGCCAAUCACUACUGGAGAUGGAACUACCGCUGUCACAUCCCGCUUUAUCAAGGGUGUUGACAAAAGGGCCACCAUCACUACAGGCUGGAGCAACUUCUUCCGUCAGGCACACAUGAAAUAGGGCAAGCAUAUACUUUCGCCUUCAAAUGGACUUCCAAGGACUGCACCUGAUCGUCUACUCAAUAUAAGAAAGUUGCAUAAGCCCCUUGUUAUACAACUUAAUGUUAGUAUAAAUGCCUACCAAGAAUUCUGCAUUUCUCAUCCGUUUAGAUCUUACGUAAUUACCGAAGACCAUCCUGUGCAUUUAGCUAUCGGUUAUUUGCUGCUUAGACUGUUGUGUGGUAUGCUUUUGAAACGGCCAUGAUAAAAGAAGUAUAUGAUUUCCUCUUCAAGUGCACGUCAAAAAGCCUCUGCAUGAUUGUCUAUCCAAUCUAAACAGAUCACAAGAAUCCUUUCCUACAUGAUUUAGUGCAUCAUUUUCGAUCUUAUGUAAAAGAAACCAUGACAAUCCUGCUUGCUGCAUAUAGUAUCAUAAGCUGUGCUUUUCGAACAACAAUAUGUUAAUGCACACUCUUCUAAUAAUUGUAUUACACUCAGCCUUUGCGCCAUUGGCGCAACGAGUCCUCUAGUUGUUGAUAAAACUACAAGCACUAGAACAUAGUUCUAUAUAAUAGCAUGUGAGAUGAUUAUAACUUUUACAGAAACUAUAUUGUUAACUAUGAUAUCAUGAUAAUAUUUUGAUCGAAUAUUUUUAAUACGCAUAUGAGAUUUUAACAACUUGAUCUGGUUCCACUUUUUUGACAAAUUUGUGCAAAAUGUUUUCAGGUACUCAACCUAUUGAUGCACAUGGACAUGAUGACUCUCUAGCGUUUAUGGACAAACCAACCUGUAAUCAUGGACCUUAUUGUCUUGUAGACCAUUUGGUGUUUCGAGUGUUUUGGAGCUUGCACUUUGUGCAUGUAGAUACAAACUUGUGUGUUCUGGACCAUCUGAAGUCUCUCAUAGUAACCAAUAGUCCUUAUCUUUUUGUGACUUGUGUGUUCUAGAUGAUUGUUAAGAUGGUCAAAACUAUGCUUCCUCUUGGUUAAUUUGUUUGUUAACUUGCGUUCAAUGUAUGUGCAUGUUUAUAAACAUAUUUUCAUUAUGGUGUAAUAUGUGUUUGUCUUGAACCUUCUUGUGGGUGUGAGGAUAAUAGUUGAAUAUUUUUAGAGCUGGUAGUAUAUAUUGUUUUGACUGCACAUCAUUUUACCAACAAUUUAACUAUCGACAAAGUAAAUAUAUGUCCGCAUAGGUAUGGUGUACCUUGAUAGACUAUAUGUUGGCGUAGAUAUGGUGUACCUGUGCAGUAAUAUGUUUUGUAACCUGUGCAAAUAUUAGAAAAGAAAAAAAUAAUAAUACCUGAUAUUCAUACUAGUGGCGCACCACUCA
rnacentral:lncRNA from 1 species